rnacentral:rRNA from 1 species
UACGGAGGGGGCUAGCGUUGUUCGGAAUUACUAGGCGUAAAGAGCGCGUAGGCGGACCUGCAAGUCGGGGGUGAAAGCCCGAGGCUCAACCUCGGAACUGCCUUCGAUACUGCGGGUCUCGAGUCCGGGAGAGGUGAGUGGAAUUCCUAGUGUAGAGGUGAAAUUCGUAGAUAUUAGGAAGAACACCAGUGGCGAAGGCGGCUCACUGGCCCGGUACUGACGCUGAGGCGCGAAAGCGUGGGGAGCAAAUAGG